AGCGAACGCUGGCGGCAGGCUUAACACAUGCAAGUCGAACGGGCACUUCGGUGCUAGUGGCAGACGGGUGAGUAACACGUGGGAACGUACCUUUCGGUUCGGAAUAAUUCAGGGAAACUUGGACUAAUACCGGAUACGCCCUUCGGGGGAAAGAUUUAUCGCCGAUAGAUCGGCCCGCGUCUGAUUAGCUAGUUGGUGAGGUAAUGGCUCACCAAGGCGACGAUCAGUAGCUGGUCUGAGAGGAUGAUCAGCCACAUUGGGACUGAGACACGGCCCAAACUCCUACGGGAGGCAGCAGUGGGGAAUAUUGGACAAUGGGCGCAAGCCUGAUCCAGCCAUGCCGCGUGAGUGAUGAAGGCCUUAGGGUUGUAAAGCUCUUUUGUCCGGGAAGAUAAUGACUGUACCGGAAGAAUAAGCCCCGGCUAACUUCGUGC
rnacentral:rRNA from 1 species